CAGGUGGAUAUCUCCACCACAGUGGAGGGGUUCCAGGAGAGGGGGGAUGACAUGAUGGCGUAUCAGUUCUCUACCUCUGACAUUAUCACCAUCCCUCAUGAGCCGUCCUCUGGCUCCUCUCACCAGUUCCCCCAGGAUUCUCCACCUCCCCCUCCGCCUCCCCCGUUCCCUUCCGAUUCCCCUCCACCUUACCACUUCACCCAGGACCAGGCCCAGGACCAGACCCCUGACAGCACUCCUCAGGAGUUUGUGGAGGAGCAACAUAAUGCUGCAGAUGUGCCCCAGCUGUGGUGAGUUUGCUGUCAUGUGUUCAUCUAUAGUAAAAACAUUUGCUUUGAAAUAAUCUGCCCCUAUA
rnacentral:lncRNA from 1 species